GCAGCAGUAGGGAAUCUUCCGCAAUGGACGAAAGUCUGACGGAGCAACGCCGCGUGAGUGAUGAAGGCUUUCGGGUCGUAAAACUCUGUUGUUAGGGAAGAACAAGUACAGAGUAACUGCUUGUACCUUGACGGUACCUAACCAGAAAGCCACGGCUAACUACGUGCCAGCAGCCGCGGUAAUACGUAGGUGGCAAGCGUUAUCCGGAAUUAUUGGGCGUAAAGCGCGCGCAGGCGGUUUCUUAAGUCUGAUGUGAAAGCCCACGGCUCAACCGUGGAGGGUCAUUGGAAACUGGGGAACUUGAGUGCAGAAGAGAAAAGCGGAAUUCCACGUGUAGCGGUGAAAUGCGUAGAGAUGUGGAGGAACACCAGUGGCGAAGGCGGCUUUUUGGUCUGUAACUGACGCUGAGGCGCGAAAGCGUGGGGAGCAAACAGGAUUAGAUA
rnacentral:rRNA from 1 species